CCUAGUCGAUCCUGCCAGUAGUCAUAUGCUUGUCUCAAAGAUUAAGCCAUGCAUGUGUAAGUAUGAACAAAUUCAGACUGUGAAACUGUGAAUGGCUCAUUAAAUCAAUUAUAGUUUGUUUGAUGGUAUCUACUACUCGGAUAACCUUAGUAAUUCUAGAGCUACUACGUGCAACAAACCCCGAAGUCUAGAAGGGAUGCAUUUAUUAGAUAAAAGUUCGAUGUGGGCUCUGCCCGUUGUUGCGAUGAUUCAUGAUAACUCGACGGAUCGCACGGCCAUCGUGUCGGUGAUGCAUCAUUCAAAUUUCUGCCCUAUCUAGUUUCAAUGAUAGGAUAGUAGCAUACCAUGGUGGUGACGGGUGACGGAUAAUUAGGGUUCGAUUCCAGAGAGGGAGCCUAAGAAACGGCUACCACAUCUAAGAAAAGCAGCAGGCGUGCAAAUUACCCAAUCUUGACACGGGGAGGUAGUGAUAAUAAAUAACAAUACCGGGCUCAAUGAGUCUGGUAAUUAGAAUGAGUACAAUCUAAAUCCAUUAACAAGGAUUCAUUAGAGGGAAAGUCUAGUGUCAGCAGUCGUGGUAAUUCCAUCUACAAUAGCGUAUAUUUAAGUUGUUGCAGUUAAAAAACUCGUAGUUGGACUUUGGGAUUGGCCGGCAGAUCCGCCUAUGGUGUGCACUGGUCGUCUCGUCCCUUCUGUCGGCGAUGCGCUCCUGGCCUUAACUGUCGGGUCGUGCCUUCGGCGCUGUUACUUUGAAGAAAUUAGAGUGCUCAAAGCAAGCCUACGCUCUGUAUACAUUAGCAUGAGAUAACAUUAUAGGAUUUUGGUCCUAUUAGGUUGGCCUUCGAGAUCGGAGUAAUAAUUAACAGGGACAGUCGGGGGCAUUCGUAUUUCAUGGUCAGAGGAGAAAUUAUUGGAUUUAUGAAAUACGAACAACUGCGAAAGCAUUUUCCAAGGAUGUUUUCAUUAAUCAAGAACGAAAGUUGGGGGCUCGAAGACGAUAAGAUACCGUCCUAGUCUCAACCAUAAUUGAUGCCGACCAGGGAUCAGCGGAUGUUGCUUUUAGGACCCUGCCGGCACCUUAUGAGAAAUCAAAGUUUUUGGGUUCCGGGGAGAGUAUGGUCGCAAGGCUAAAACUUAAAGGAAUUGACGGAAGGGAACCACCAGGAGUGGAGCCUGCGGCUUAAUUUAACUCAACACGGGGAAACUUACCAGGUCCAGACAUAGUAAGGAUUAACAGACUGAGAGCUCUUUCUUGAUUCUAUGGGUGGUGGUGCAUGGCCGUUCUUAGUUGGCAGAGCCAUUUGUCUGGUUAAUUCCGUUAACGAACGAGACCUAACUCUACUAACUAGCUAUGUGGAGGUAUCCCUUCGCGGCCAGCUUCUUAGAGGGACUACGGCCUUUUAGGCCGCGGAAGUUUGAGGCAAUAAUAGUUUUGUGAUGCGCUUAGAUGUUCUGGGCCACACGCGCGCUACACUGAUGUAUUUUAUGCGUUUAUAGCCUUAGCCGACAGGACCGAGUAAUCUUUGAAAUUUCAUCAUGAUGGGGAUAAAUCAUUGUAAUUGUUGGUCUUGAACGAGGAUUCCUAAUAAGCGCGAGUCAUCAGCUCUCGUUGACUACGUCCCUACCCUUCGUACACACCGCCCGUUGCUCCUACCAAUUGAAUGAUCUGGUGAAAUGUUUGGAUCACGACGACGAUGGUAGUUCUCUGCCCGCGACGUCGCAAGAAUUCCAUUGAACCUUAUCAUUUAGAGAAAGGAGAAGUCGUAACAAGGUUUUCGUAGGUAAACUUAUGGAAG
rnacentral:rRNA from 1 species